rnacentral:rRNA from 1 species
AGAGUUUGAUCAUGGCUCAGAUUGAACGCUGGCGGCAUGCUUUACACAUGCAAGUCGAACGGCAGCGCGGGCUUCGGCCUGGCGGCGAGUGGCGAACGGGUGAGUAAUGCAUCGGAACGUACCCAGUCGUGGGGGAUAACACAUCGAAAGAUGUGCUAAUACCGCAUAUGUCCUGAGGGAGAAAGCGGGGGACCUUCGGGCCUCGCGCGAUUGGAGCGGCCGAUGUCAGAUUAGCUAGUAGGUGGGGUAAAGGCCCACCUAGGCGACGAUCUGUAGCGGGUCUGAGAGGAUGAUCCGCCACACUGGGACUGAGACACGGCCCAGACUCCUACGGGAGGCAGCAGUGGGGAAUUUUGGACAAUGGGGGCAACCCUGAUCCAGCCAUGCCGCGUGAGUGAAGAAGGCCUUCGGGUUGUAAAGCUCUUUCGGCCGGGAAGAAAUCGCGCUCUUUAAUAGAGGGUGUGGAUGACGGUACCGGACUAAGAAGCACCGGCUAACUACGUGCCAGCAGCCGCGGUAA